rnacentral:rRNA from 4 species
GGGUUGUGAGGUUAAGCGACUAAGCGUACACGGUGGAUGCCCUGGCAGUCAGAGGCGAUGAAGGGCGUGCUAAUCUGCGAUAAGCGCCGGUAAGGUGAUAUGAACCGUUAUAACCGGCGAUACCCGAAUGGGGAAACCCAGUGUGAUUCGUCACACUAUCAUUAACUGAAUCCAUAGGUUAAUGAGGCGAACCGGGGGAACUGAAACAUCUAAGUACCCCGAGGAAAAGAAAUCAACCGAGAUUCCCCCAGUAGCGGCGAGCGAACGGGGAGGAGCCCAGAGCCUGAAUCAGCAUGUGUGUUAGUGGAAGCGUCUGGAAAGGCGCGCGAUACAGGGUGACAGCCCCGUACACAAAAGCGCAUGUGCUGUGAGCUCGAUGAGUAGGGCGGGACACGUGGUAUCCUGUCUGAAUAUGGGGGGACCAUCCUCCAAGGCUAAAUACUCCUGACUGACCGAUAGUGAACCAGUACCGUGAGGGAAAGGCGAAAAGAACCCCGGCGAGGGGAGUGAAAAAGAACCUGAAACCGUGUACGUACAAGCAGUGGGAGCACAGGUUUACCUGUGUGACUGCGUACCUUUUGUAUAAUGGGUCAGCGACUUAUAUUCUGUAGCAAGGUUAACCGUAUAGGGGAGCCGGAGGGAAACCGAGUCUUAAUUGGGCGUUAAGUUGCAGGGUAUAGACCCGAAACCCGGUGAUCUAGCCAUGGGCAGGUUGAAGGUUGGGUAACACUAACUGGAGGACCGAACCGACUAAUGUUGAAAAAUUAGCGGAUGACCUGUGGCUGGGGGUGAAAGGCCAAUCAAACCGGGAGAUAGCUGGUUCUCCCCGAAAGCUAUUUAGGUAGCGCCUCGUGAAUUCAUCUCCGGGGGUAGAGCACUGUUUCGGCUAGGGGGCCAUCCCGGCUUACCAACCCGAUGCAAACUGCGAAUACCGGAGAAUGUUAUCACGGGAGACACACGGCGGGUGCUAACGUCCGUCGUGAAGAGGGAAACAACCCAGACCGCCAGCUAAGGUCCCAAAGUCAUGGUUAAGUGGGAAACGAUGUGGGAAGGCCCAGACAGCCAGGAUGUUGGCUUAGAAGCAGCCAUCAUUUAAAGAAAGCGUAAUAGCUCACUGGUCGAGUCGGCCUGCGCGGAAGAUGUAACGGGGCUAAACCAU